GUCUACAGCCAUGCCACCCUGAACAAGCCUGAUCUCGGAAGCUAAGCAGGGUCAGGCCUGGUUAGUACUUGGAUGGGAGACCACAUAGGAAGACCAGGUGCUGUAGGUG
rnacentral:rRNA from 1 species